UACGUAGGGACCAAGCGUUGUUCGGAUUUACUGGGCGUAAAGGGUGCGUAGGUGGCGAGGUUAGUCAGGUGUGAAAUCUCGGGGCUCAACCCCGAAACUGCACUUGAUACUGCCUUGCUAGAGUACUGGAGAGGAGAUUGGAAUUUACGGUGUAGCAGUGAAAUGCGUAGAUAUCGUAAGGAAGACCAGUGGCGAAGGCGAAUCUCUGGACAGUUACUGACACUGAGGAACGAAGGCCAGGGGAGCAAACGGG
rnacentral:rRNA from 1 species